rnacentral:rRNA from 1 species
CAGCCCUUGACAUGGCAGGACGGUUUCCAGAGAUGGAUUCCUUCACUUCGGUGACUUGCACACAGGUGCUGCAUGGCUGUCGUCAGCUCGUGUCGUGAGAUGUUGGGUUAAGUCCCGCAACGAGCGCAACCCUCGCCUUUAGUUGCCAUCAUUUAGUUGGGCACUCUAGAGGGACUGCCGGUGAUAAGCCGGAGGAAGGUGGGGAUGACGUCAAGUCUUCAUGGCCCUUACGGGCUGGGCUACACACGUGCUACAAUGGCGGUGACAGAGGGCAGCUAGACCGCGAGGUCAUGCUAAUCCCUAAAAGCCGUCUCAGUUCGGAUUGCACUCUGCAACUCGAGUGCAUGAAGUUGGAAUCGCUAGUAAUCGUAGAUCAGCACGCUACGGUGAAUACGUUCCC